rnacentral:rRNA from 1 species
AACUGUCGAGGGCUGGGACAACCUCGUACGGUUCAGGAGAUUGUGUGUCUGACUAAGACGCACCGUGCCGAUGUUAUCUUUCUUUCAGAAACUAGGAAAAAUAAAGAGUAUGUUGAGCUUUUGCGGUACCAGUUGGGUACGAAUAAUGUGUUUACUGUUUCUGGCCAUGGUAAAGGUGGAGGUCUAGUCAUAUUUUGGGAUGGAGCAUAUUCUUGUGAGCUGAACCAAUAUAGUGAACAUUUUGUGGACAUGUACGUCAACAAGGGUGAUGGUACAAAGUGGAGGUGCACAUUUAUUUACCGAGAGCCUAAGGCGAGCCAGAGGUAUGUUAUGUGGGAUCUUUUGAGGCGGAUUAAAUCUCUUGGUGUUGGACCUUGGUUUAUGGUGGGGGGUUUUAACGAAGCUAUGUGGCAAAAUGAACAUUUCUCUCAACAUAAGAGAUCUCCUAGACUCAUGGCUGACUUUCGUGAUGUUCUGUCGGAGUGCAAUUUAUUUGAUUUGGGCUUUCAAGGUGCUCCGUGGACAUAUAAUGAUAUGCAAGAGGGCAACAAGAAUGUUAAGGUACGUCUUGACCGUGCAGUGGCAUGCCCUCUUCGGUCUUCUAUUAUUAGCUCCAGAGCUGAUCAUUGCCCCAUUUGA